UUUUUAAUAUUAUGACUAUAUAUAUAACAUACAAAAUAAAAAAAUAUUAAGACAGUUUAUUAUGAAUCAAUUUUGAACCGCACAUAAAUUUUGUUUUAAAACCAUCUGAAUUAAGAUAUCAAAGUAGGCUGAGUUAAUAAAAUUAGCAGGUCAUUAGCUCAUCUAAAUAUUAGUACUAUAAAUUGGACGAGGACUCAAUUGCCGCUUCUAGUGUUGUACAAGUACUCUAUUGCAAUUAAGUCAAAACUAUAUUUAUAUAAAAUAAGAGACGUAAGAACUAAGAAGAGAAAGCAGCAGAAUAGCCACUUUCGGCCACCGCAAACCCGUUUACAGUGUGAGGUGCAAAUGCAAUGGGCUCCGAUGCCGCUGACUCAAGGGUACAUUACUCUAUAUUUGCAAGCCUAUGUCCAUCGGCUUCUCCAACACAUAUUAAAUACUUAAGAUGGAGGUGAAGAUGAGGAAUAUUAUGAUAUCAUGCAUUUAUAUGAGUAGAGCGAGCUAUUUCCGUAUGCAACUUGUCUUCUUAGUCCUCCAUUCAUGCAUGCUCUAAUUCCUCCUCUCGUAGUCUCUGACAUCUUGCUUGGUCAAGUAUUGAUGCAGAUAUUAAACAUCUGAGACCUUGGUGGUUCAAUUCUAUUUGUUCCUCAAGUAGUUGAGAGAGUUCAGUGGGGACAAGGAUCAAAUAUGAAGUGAAAAAAUAAUAAUAGGGCACGCGUAAAGCAUUUAGAAAGACGAGGAUGGCAAUUGCUCCCAACAAAACAAUGUAAAUCCACCACUUGAGAAAAAAGCACAGAAUAGAUAUCUUGGAUUCACUGAGGUAACUCUUUCACUUCCAAGUUAUUUAGAUCCACACAAGGAAAAUAUGUUUUAGCCUUAGAGACUAGUUUUAUUUAUUUAUGAACAUCUACUGCUGGUUUUAUACAGUUCUCUCUUUCUUUAUGAACAUCUACUGCUGGUUUUAUACAGUUCUCUCUUUCUUUAAAGCCUUAUGAAAUGUUGGAUUAAUUGCAAUAGUUGAGAAUCUCCACAAAGUGGAACUAUCAGCCUUGAUAAGGAUUUGGUUUUUAUGUGUGCUUACUGAUUGGAUGGCUGUCCUAUUAAAUUUUUCACAUUUCACAUAUUAUGUCA